AUCUUUGUGCAGUGGCAAUAUCAUACCCAAUGAGAUUUACCUGAGGUGCAAUUAUUGCUGAUUGAAAAAAAAAAGUAUUACA
rnacentral:snRNA from 1 species